rnacentral:rRNA from 1 species
UACGGAGGGUGCAAGCGUUAUCCGGAAUCAUUGGGUUUAAAGGGUCCGCAGGCGGAAGAAUAAGUCAGUGGUGAAAUCUUACAGCUUAACUGUGAAACUGCCAUUGAUACUGUUUUUCUUGAAUUUGGUCGAAGUGGGCGGAAUAUGACAUGUAGCGGUGAAAUGCAUAGAUAUGUCAUAGAACACCGAUAGCGAAGGCA